ensembl:lncRNA
CAAAUCAGCUAGGACUAAAGGCUGAACAAUAGUACAUCUAAUUAAUGUUCAUGACCCAGGCUGAUAAAGGAGAUCUGGGUUUCUCUCUGCAUUUCCAUUCAUCACUAUAAAUCUGCAUGUACCCAUACUAAAGACAUGCUGGUAGCAUCAGCCGUGGAGUGAGAAUUAAUCCUACUAAUGAGCCAGGCUGAUAAGGUUAAUAAAGGAGGUCCAUGUAACCUGGAGAAAGUCAUCUGUUCACAUUCCCAUUCAUCUCUAUAAACCUGCAUGUUUCCAUACCCUGCUAGAUGAACCCAACCUAUUCUUUCUCAUCCUCUGCGACACAAGUUGGAUGUUCCAGCAGAUAAAACAGCAGCUCACUUGUCAAUUUAUGGACUCCAGGUUGUGCGGGAAAUGUGAAGCAGACGGCCGGUGUGAGAAUUCAUUACCUGGCCCCUUCUCCCACCAGCGCCAGCUGCUGCCUCACACAAUCCAUCUCAAACCUGAAAUUGAGCCCCAUCCUCUGCAUAUAUUCCAGCCCCAUUACAAUGUCAGAUAUCCAGUCCUGAGAUGACGCCUGCUGCUUAUGCAAUGUCAACUUGCUUCAACAACUUGACCCCCAUCUGCUCCCUCUUACCUUUUUAUUCCCUUCCCAGUAUUCAUUGCUCAUGCAGAGCAAGCUCUCGAAUACAUAUUUGUUGGCAGAUAGGCCAGUGUGCAAAGCUGCCGUGUCUCGGUGGAGGUGUGCUCCUCCUCGACUUAAAUGUGAUGUUCGGAGGCCUGAUGAGAUGCUGAUACUGUGAUUGUCUGGUGCCCUAUUGAGUGAUCAGCACUGUGGGCUAGAUGUUUGAUACCCUGUCAUUCAUGUACUAUCCCAGUGUCAUUCUCUUAACACUGUUCUUCCCUUUCCAAUCGUCACUGAAUGUGUUUUACUCAAAAUGAUGACAGUACACCGAAGCAUGUUUCACAAGUGAUUACAGCCACUCAGUGGCGCAUAUGAAUGAGCCAUAAAUAGCCUACAUCAUUAAAUGUAACCCUUAUAGUUUUAUUUUCUUUAUAUAGCACAUUUCUACUGCCUUCAAAGCAGCCCAAAGUGCUGUACAAUGCA